rnacentral:rRNA from 1 species
CCUACGGGAGGCAGCAGUGGGGAAUCUUGCGCAAUGGGCGAAAGCCUGACGCAGCCAUGCCGCGUGAAUGAUGAAGGUCUUAGGAUUGUAAAAAUUCUUUCACCGGGGACGAUAAUGACGGUACCCGGAGAAGAAGCCCCGGCUAACUUCGUGCCAGCAGCCGCGGUAAUACGAAGGGGGCUAGCGUUGCUCGGAAUUACUGGGCGUAAAGGGAGCGUAGGCGGACAUUUAAGUCAGGGGUGAAAUCCCGGGGCUCAACCUCGGAAUUGCCUUUGAUACUGGGUGUCUUGAGUAUGAGAGAGGUGUGUGGAACUCCGAGUGUAGAGGUGAAAUUCGUAGAUAUUCGGAAGAACACCAGUGGCGAAGGCGACACACUGGCUCAUUACUGACGCUGAGGCUCGAAAGCGUGGGGAGCAAACAGGAUUAGAUACCCUGGUAGUCCACGCCGUAAACGAUGAUUGCUAGUUGUCGGGAUGCAUGCAUUUCGGUGACGCAGCUAACGCAUUAAGCAAUCCGCCUGGGGAGUACGGUCGCAAGAUUAAAACUUAAAAGGAAAUUAGACGG